rnacentral:rRNA from 1 species
UAUUCGGCGCAAAAGUUGAAAAUUCAAAGGGAAUUGACGGGGGGCCCGCCACAAGCCGGGGGAGCCAUUGGGUUAAAUUCGAUGAUUAGCGGAGGGAACCUUUCCAGGGCUUUAAAUGCCAGAACGACAAGAAGGUGGAAACCACCUCUUUCUUCGGACGGUUCUGCCAAGGUGCUGCAUGGUUGUUCGUCCAGCUCGUGCUGUGAAGUGUUCGGGUUAGUUCCCAUAACGAGCGCAAACCCCCUAUUUCUUAGUUGCCCAGCGGUUCGGCCCGGGACUCUAGAGAAACUGCCAGCGUAAGCUGUGAGGAAGGUGGGGAUGACGUCAAAUCAUCACGGCCCUUACGUCCUGGGCUACACACGUGCUACAAUGGUAGGGACAGAGAGUUGCCAACCCGCGAGGGUGAGCUAAUCUUCAAACCCUAUCUCAGUUCGGAUCGGAGUCUGCAACUCGACUCCGUGAAGUUGGAAUCGCUAGUAAUCGCAUAUCAGCCAUGAUGCGGUGAAUACGUUCCCGGGCCUUGUACACACCGCCCGUCAAGCCAUGGAAGCUGGGGGCGCCUGAAGUCGGUCACCGUAAGGAGCUGCCUAGGGCGAAACUAGUAACUGGGGCUAAGUCGUAACAAGGUAA